rnacentral:rRNA from 1 species
UACGUAGGGGGCAAGCGUUGUCCGGAAUCAUUGGGCGUAAAGAGCGUGUAGGCGGCCAGAAAAGUCCGCUGUGAAAACUCGAGGCUCAACUUCGAGCUGUCGGUGGAAACUUUCUGGCUAGAGUCCGGAAGAGGAGAAUGGAAUUCCUGGUGUAGCGGUGAAAUGCGCAGAUAUCAGGAAGAACACCCGUGGCGAAGGCGGCUCACUGGCCCGGUACUGACGCUGAGGUGCGAAAGCGUGGGGAGCAAACAGG